rnacentral:lncRNA from 1 species
GCCGAGGGGGUGGGGGGUUAGGUUUUUGGGUGGUGGUGGGGUGGGGUGGGGUGGGGGUGGGUGUUUAGGUUUUUGGUGGUGAUGUAAUGGGUUAGUUUUAGCUUAUUGGACACUUGUUACUCUAUAAAUCCUUCUUACACUUCUUACAAUUAGAAGUCUUUGUAGAAUAACUUGACCCUUUACUACAUAGUCCAGGCCAACCUUUUUUGUUAAAAGUGUUAAAUUGUUUUUCAAAUAAUUAGCAAGACAUAUAUGGUUUAAAUAUAUUAUAUUGUUUCUUUAGUAUGAUUUAGAAGGUUUUAUGAAUUUGAAAUACACGACUUUCUAGACCUAUUCAACUCCUUUGACAUGUUUCCUUCUACGCUAAUAUUUUUUUAACUGUUCAAGAUAAAAACAUAACCUCAAUGGACUCCUUUGUCAGGAAUAAAGGACAGAUCAGGCCAAAAAGGGUACUCCACCAUGGUUGUAAAAAUCCCGACUAGCAUCUGAUUAAUCGCUAGUCAAAGGUUCACCAAGUAAUUUUCCUCUAAUCGGCCAAUUAACUGCCAGACGGUCAACGGCAGCCCUAGGCAGUCCUAAUCAGCCAAAAAUCGGCAGUUCCGGACAAAGUCCGGCCAAUUAACGGCCAUUUUCCGGUUAAACCUUAUAAUUUCGGUGAUUAAUGUUGUCUACUUAAAAAAUGAGCUGAUGAGGGGUUAAAACUUGUCUUGCUAAAAAAAUUACACGUAAAAAUGUGUGCGUAUAUAUAUAUAAAACUGAAGAUUAUAUAUAAAAAUCUCAAUCUGAUUAAUCUCUAGUUUGUAUCCCACCGGCCGACUAGCGCCUAGCAAUUCUUACAACAAUGACUCACGCUAUAAAUCCUAGUGGUUCCAGGAAUAGUAGUUAGUAAUAUGCACUAUAUGCAUAAAUAUAGUGUGUUCACAUGUGGAUGAAAUGGUCCCUAUUUGAAUAUAUAAAACCAUUACCUUAACCGUUUGAGUUCCUCGGCUUCUUCAAUGGUACAACCAUGUGUGCAACCCGAAAACGCCAACAUAUCCAUCUCGUAUCUUAAAUGCAAUGCCAAAAAUGGCCCUUUUUCUUGAAGAAGGUGCACCAAUUUAUUCCCAAGAGCUUCAAUAGAAGGCGUGAACUUUAGUGCAUGAAAAUUGGUACGACACCUAAGCUUUUGAAGAUGAAAUGAAAUCCCAUUGUUUGCUAAUCGCGCAUCCGUUCGAUUAAAGUGUAUCACCUUAUGCUUGUUAAAAAGUGGUAGAAUCUGCAAUUCGGUACAAAAUUGGAACCAUGAAAUCAUAUUAUGCAACAACAAAAAAAUUUGACAAGAGUCCUUCACUCGUGGAAUAAUUAAUGGGAUUAAAUCAAAGAUUUAUAGUGAAAAAGGAAAAGCAAAUCAUCAAAUAAGCUAAGCAGUUAAUGCGAAAUAUUGUUUUACCUUGGAUUUUUUGGCUUGUAAAUGUAGGCAAAAUGGUAUUAAAACCUUAUUUAUAGGUAUAUUUUGAGUAAAGGAAGCUAAAAACCUAUUGGAUGUAUAAAAAUUGUAUAAUCACCUUGCGCCUCAGGUACGAAAAGCCCACCGCUUUUGCACUUUGGGCCUCGAUUUUAGACCUCGUCGAUUUUGUGCGCGUAUCGCUUUUUAAAACCAAGGCACGGGGCAUAUAGCGCAAAAGCACACCGCUUUUGUACGCGAGGCGAAAUUUAUUUAUGCAAUUGUUUUUAAUUCUCAUAGGUUUUUAGUAUCACCUACCCAAAGUUUAACUAUACAUAAGCCUUAUAUAUAAUUUAGUAGAUAAAAUGCAUAUAUAUUCAACCUAAAAUACUAUACGUAUUACAUCCUGAUGCACAAAACCUUUCCUGUACGAGAAGAGAGUUUUUGCGCCUCAAGUGCACUUUUUGUACAGUGUGCGCCUCACCUACUCCAAAGCGAGAAAGCCUACGCCUAGGCACGCCUCAUACGCGUUUUUUUCAAACUAAGCGCCUAGGUACGUCCAUUCCAGGCAAUUUCUAGAUGUUUUAAACUUGUUUGUUUUCAAUUAGUGUAUCAAACUGGUUUAACUACAUAAUACAGUACUAGAAAACAUCCUAAUGAGCAAAUAAAAAGUUACAAACCCAACAACUUUAAUUCUACCAGUAUGAUACUCACUUGGCGUUGGCAGAGGCGGUGGCGGUGGCGUUGUAACGACGGUUGUGGCCUCAGAGGACAGUCUAGUGGAUACAUUAAUAUUGUUAAAAACCCCAGUGAAAAACUUUGGAUGCCAAAGCUCACCAACACUCACAAGCUGAACCAAACAAGUCCAAAUCAAAAUGCUGGAACAAACCCUAAUAAACCACACUUGUAAUCUGGUUCUCUGGAUCACUUGACCCGGUAACUUAGCCCACCUCACUACCUGUACACUACUGUUUUCAGAUCUAACAUCCAUUUCUGUUCUUCACACCACAUAGCUUCUUUGUUCUCAAAACAUUGCUCAAAAUAAGAUCAAGAUCCUACCUUUAUCAUUCCAAAUUGGGUCAAUAUGAUCAAUACAAACCCUAAAUCAAAUACCCUUAUCAAAUCUUGAGUUGGGUGUUCGUAAAAUUGCAAAAAGAUUCAAACUUUAAGCAAUACCCUGAUCAAAUCUUGAGGUGGGUGUUCAUAAAAUUGCAAAAAGAUUCAAACUUUAAGCAAUACCCUGAUCAAAUCUUGAGGUGGGUGUUCAUAAAAUUGCAAAAAGAUUCAAUCUUUAACCAAAUAAAAUCACCUGGGGGUGUUGGACGAACUGGGUGUGUGAGAAAAUGGAAAAAAAGAUUCAAGAAUUCAAGAUUUGGGUAUCAGAAUGAUGU